GACGAACGCUGGCGGCGUGCCUAAUACAUGCAAGUCGAGCGCAGGAAACUGACGGAACUCUUCGGAGGGAAGGCAGUGGAAUGAGCGGCGGACGGGUGAGUAACACGUAAGGAACCUGCCUCAAGGAUUGGGAUAACUCCGAGAAAUCGGAGCUAAUACCGGAUAGUUCAACGGACCGCAUGGUCCGCUGAUGAAAGGCGCUUCGGCGUCACCUUGAGAUGGCCUUGCGGUGCAUUAGCUAGUUGGUGGGGUAACGGCCCACCAAGGCGACGAUGCAUCGCCGACCUGAGAGGGUGAUCGGCCACACUGGGACUGAGACACGGCCCAGACUCCUACGGGAGGCAGCAGUAGGGAAUCUUCCACAAUGGACGAAAGUCUGAUGGAGCAACGCCGUGUGAGUGAUGAAGGUUUUCGGAUCGUAAAACUCUGUUGUAAGGGAAGAACACGUACGAGAGGGAAUGCUCGUACCUUGACGGUACCUUACGAGAAAGCCACGGCUAACUACGUGCCAGCAGCCGCCGCAG
rnacentral:rRNA from 1 species